rnacentral:lncRNA from 1 species
GGUUUAAUUAAUUUUAUUGUUAUUUAAAGAUUUAAUAGGUUUCUGCGCAUAACUCGGUUCAGACAAUUAAAAUGAAACUCGUAAAGAACUAGACAAUUAGAAUCCACGUAAUCGGAUCAUUACGGCAAUUUUUCAAAUGCAACACGCAUAAACUCGAUAGAAAUGUUGGUUACGAUAUAGAAUGUGAUGGGGAAGGAUAGAAGGGACUAGUAGUGUAUUAACCCAUACAUAAACGUUAUCUAUACGUGUGUAAAUAAACGUGUAUAUGUAGGUAGAACUAUAUAUGCAGACUGUAGUUCGUCGAGGAGCAUCAUAAACUGAGAGCAAGAGCAGAGGCAGAACAGUGGAGUUCAAGAACACCCGCUACCACUCCUUGAUCAAUACCAACGGGGAUGUUUCGUUGUCCUGCUGCGAGUAGAAAGCGCAGUGCGGUGCACGCACGCGGAAUUCGUUUAGGUUACGUAUAUCCAACUCCUGUUCUCCUGAUCUUGCUGCUUACUUGAGCAGAGGAGGAGGACGAUUUAUGCAGCCAUGUCAAAAGGACAUUGACCAGACAUGCAGGCUACUCGUGACGGAUACUUUUUUUAUUUCUCUCUCUCUCUCUCUCUCAAAAGAUUGAAAGAGACAGAGAGAGAGAGAGAGAAAGAUCAAAUCCAAUGACGCAUAAGCCAUAGAGAAUAUACGUGUGCGUAUACGUAUAUAAGUAUAUGUAUGUAUAUAUGUAUUUACAAGAUAACCAUCGCAAAUUUCUUUCUCAAACUCUGUUCUGUGGGCCUCCUCCAGCAGUAACCUUCACGUGAUAAGAGAUUCGGACAAUCGAUGUUACUUGCGUUUGAUUAAUUAUUCGUAAUAAAUAGUUUAACGCAUGUAC